rnacentral:rRNA from 1 species
GACGAACGCUGGCGGCGUGCUUAACACAUGCAAGUCGAACGGUAAGGCCCUUCGGGGUACACGAGUGGCGAACGGGUGAGUAACACGUGGGUGAUCUGCCCUGCACUUCGGGAUAAGCCUGGGAAACUGGGUCUAAUACCGGAUAGGACCACUGCCUGCAUGGGUGGUGGUGGAAAGCUUUUGCGGUGUGGGAGGGGCCCGCGGCCUAUCAGCUUGUUGGUGGGGUGAUGGCCUACCAAGGGGAGGACGGGUAGCCGGCCGGAGAGGGGGACCGGCCACACUGGGACUGAGAUACGGCCCAGACUCCUACGGGAGGCAGCAGUGGGGAAUAUUGCACAAUGGGCGCAAGCCUGAUGCAGCGACGCCGCGUGAGGGAUGACGGCCUUCGGGUUGUAAACCUCUUUCAGCACCGACGAAGCGCAAGUGACGGUAGGUGCAGAAGAAGGACCGGCCAACUACGUGCCAGCAGCCGCCGUAA